rnacentral:lncRNA from 1 species
CGAGUUCACAGAUGCCGCGCACACAUACCCUCCCCCACGCACAUCCUCCCCGCUUUCUCACAUGCGUGCGCGCGCGCGCACACACACACUCUCAGAGCCUCCCUCACACCAUCACUUUCCUUCCUCUGUCUCUCACAAACACUCCCUCUGCCAAGAGUGUGGCUGUGCUGCAGCACAGCCCCAAAGUACUUGUCACUGUUCUCAUCAGGUCCUUGGCCUUCCUGGCCUCAGUCUCUUCCCUUUCACCUCCAGCCCUGCACACUGCGGCCCUGUAUUCUUUUGUCAUGUCUCUGUCUAGUCAGCAGUAAAGUACGGAGUGUUCAUUUAGUCAUUCAACAAAUGUUGAUUGAGCACUGAUGAUGGGUUAAGCAUUGGGGCUACAUCAGUGACACAGGUCCUUCCCUCAUAGAGCUCUCCAUUUUGUGACCGGUUUCUUUGUGGCUGAUCUUGUCUGACUAGAUUGUAAGGUAACCCUUGAUCUUGGAUGUUGAGAGAUGUGUAGACAGUCACAGGAGGAAAAAUAUGGGAAGGGUGUUCUCGGCCAAGGGAACAGCCCGUGCAAAGCCUAGAAGUGAAUCACAGUAUGGUAUGCCGGGAACUGAGGUGAUGUUCAGAGACUAGAGGAGAAGCUGCAAAGAGAGCAGAAAGCCAGAUGUUACAAAGUGUGGAUGCCAUGUUCAGAGGGCUGGAUUUUGUCUCAUGAGCCACAAGGAAUCAUGAAAAGUCUUUAGUGACAGGACAGGGUGGGGGCAUGAUGGUGUUCUGACCUAGAAGAGGUGGAGAAGGAGCCACAUGAAAAAAAAAAAAAAGGGAGUUCCCAUUUUGGCUCAGCAGAAGUGAAUCUGACUAGCAUCCAUGAAGUCGAAGGUUCGAUCCCUGGCCUCGCUCAGUGGGUUAAGGAUCCAGUGUUGCUGUGAGCUGUCAUGUAUGUAGAUUGCAGACUCGGCUCGGAUCUGGUGUGGCUGUGGCUGUGGUGUAGGCCGGCAGCUGCAGCUCCGAUUCAACCCUUGGCCUUGGAACCUCCAUAUGCCGCUAAAAAAAAAAAAAGGAAGGAGCCACGUGAACAUCAGCCCAAGGGCAAGGUGUCUAACCCAGCUGCUCUGAGGGACAUAGGAAGGAGGGGCUUGGGAUGGGAUUGUGGAGGCAAGACCUCUGUGGCCAGGCUGAGGGGGGUCAGCAUGGGGCUGAGCUGCACUCUAGAAAUCCCACGUUUUGGUGGAUUAUGUUCAUUAGAAAUUGUGCUCCAGGAGUUCCCGUCGUGGCGCAGUGAUUAAUGAAUCCGACUAGGAACCAUGAGGUUGCGGGUUCGGUCCCUGCCCUUGCUCAGUGGGUUAACGAUCCGGCGUUGCCGUGAGCUGUGGUGUAGGUCGAAGAUACAGCUUGGAUCCCGCGUUGCUGUGGCUCUGGCGUAGGCUGGUGGCUACAGCUCCGAUUCGACCCCUAGCCUGGGAAGCUCCAUAUGCCGUGGGAGCGGCCCAAGAAAUGGCAAAAAGACAAAAAAAAAAAGAAAAA